AAAACUUUCAACAACGGAUCUCUUGGUUCUGGCAUCGAUGAAGAACGCAGCGAAAUGCGAUAAGUAAUGUGAAUUGCAGAAUUCAGUGAAUCAUCGAAUCUUUGAACGCACAUUGCGCCCGCCAGUAUUCUGGCGGGCAUGCCUGUUCGAGCGUCAUUUCAACCCUCAAGCCCCCCAGGGGGCCUGGCGUUGGGGGACGGCCCCUCCCGGCCGCCCCCGAAAUGCAGUGGCGACCCCGCCGCAGCCUCCCCUGCGUAGUAGCUGUUUUUACGAAAAUGAAACCUCGCACCGGAGAGCGGCGCUGCUCGGCCGUGAAACCCCAACUUUCUGAAAGGUUGACCUCGGAUCAGGUAGGAAUACCCGCUGAACUUAAGCAUAUCAAUAAGCGGAGGAAAAGAAACCAACAGGGAUUGCCCCAGUAACGGCGAGUGAAGCGGCAACAGCUCAAAUUUGAAAUCUGGCCCCCCGGGCCCGAGUUGUAAUUUGUAGAGGAUGCUUUUGGCGAGGUGCCGCCCGAGUUCCCUGGAACGGGACGCCGCAGAGGGUGAGAGCCCCGUCUGGCUGGCCACCGAGCCUCUGUAAAGCUCCUUCGACGAGUCGAGUAGUUUGGGAAUGCUGCUCAAAAUGGGAGGUAUAUGUCUUCUAAAGCUAAAUAUUGGCCAGAGACCGAUAGCGCACAAGUAGAGUGAUCGAAAGAUGAAAAGCACUUUGAAAAGAGGGUUAAACAGUACGUGAAAUUGUUGAAAGGGAAGCGCUCAUGACCAGACUUGGGCUUGGCGGAUCAUCCGGCGUUCUCGCCGGUGCACUCCGCCUCGCCCAGGCCAGCAUCAGUUCGCGCCGGGGGACAAAGGCUUCGGGAAUGUGGCUCCUCCGGGAGUGUUAUAGCCCGCUGCGCAAUACCCUGGGGCGGACUGAGGUUCGCGCAUCUGCAAGGAUGCUGGCGUAAUGGUCAUCAGCGACCCGUCUUGAAACACGGACCAAGGAGUCGUCUUCGUAUGCGAGUGUUCGGGUGUCAAACCCCUACGCGUAAUGAAAGUGAACGCAGGUGAGAGCUUCGGCGCAUCAUCGACCGAUCCUGAUGUUCUCGGAUGGAUUUGAGUAAGAGCAUACGGGGCCGGACCCGAAAGAAGGUGAACUAUGCCUGUAUAGGGUGAAGCCAGAGGAAACUCUGGUGGAGGCUCGCAGCGGUUCUGACGUGCAAAUCGAUCGUCAAAUAUGGGCAUGGG
rnacentral:rRNA from 1 species